rnacentral:rRNA from 1 species
GAUGAACGCUGGCGGCGUGCCUAAUACAUGCAAGUCGAGCGAAUGGAUAAAGAGCUUGCUCUUAUGAAGUUAGCGGCGGACGGGUGAGUAACACGUGGGUAACCUGCCCAUAAGACUGGGAUAACUCCGGGAAACCGGGGCUAAUACCGGAUAACAUUUUGAACCGCAUGGUUCGAAAUUGAAAGGCGGCUUCGGCUGUCACUUAUGGAUGGACCCGCGUCGCAUUAGCUAGUUGGUGAGGUAACGGCUCACCAAGGCAACGAUGCGUAGCCGGCCCGAGAGGGUGAUGGGCCACACUGGGACUGACACACAGCCCAGACUCCUACGGGGGGCAGAGGUAGGGAGUCUUCCGCAAUGGACGAAAGUCUGACGAAGCAACGCCGCGUGAGUGAUGAAGGCUUUCGGGUCGUAAAACUCUGUUGUUAGGGAAGAACAAGUGCUAGUUGAAUAAGCUGGCACCUUGACGGUACCUAACCAGAAAGCCACGGCUAACUACGUGCCAGCAGCCGCCGUAA